rnacentral:lncRNA from 1 species
GAAUUCAAGUGCGCACAACUCGUGAAGCACCCAGUGGAGUGUGGAGCCAAAAAAGACGGAACCUGCAGGUGGCCUCUGGGAUACCAGAAGUCCUGGAGGACAACUGAAAGCUUCCAGCUGAAAGAAAAUCUGCCCAGAAAGGACAAUGCAGAUGUGUCUGGCACCAUCCACAACAUGGCACAGACGCCAGACAACAGAAAAAACAGCAGAUGAGCUGGAAAGGGAAAACCUCUGCCUUAUAGAGAGUGGAAACAUCUAGUCACCCACAAACCACAUCAUGCCAGCUGAUAUGAGACCAGAAACAGAUGCAGACAAGCAACACCGAUGACAUCAGCCACAGUCCAGGCAUGCUGGAAGAAAACGUCACUGGUGACUACAAUCACACCAAAGACUGAC